rnacentral:rRNA from 1 species
CCUACGGGAGGCUGCAGUGGGGAAUAUUGGACAAUGGGGGGAACCCUGAUCCAGCCAUGCCGCGUGUGUGAAGAAGGCCCUCGGGUUGUAAAGCACUUUCAGUGAGGAAGAACGCCUGGUGGUUAAUACCCAUCAGGAAAGACAUCACUCACAGAAGAAGCACCGGCUAACUCCGUGCCAGCAGCCGCGGUAAUACGGAGGGUGCGAGCGUUAAUCGGAAUUACUGGGCGUAAAGCGCGCGUAGGUGGCUUGAUAAGCCGGUUGUGAAAGCCCCGGGCUCAACCUGGGAACGGCAUCCGGACCUGUCAAGCUAGAGUGCAGGAGGGGAAGGUAGAAUUCCCGGUGUAGCGGUGAAAUGCGUAGAGAUCGGGAGGAAUACCAGUGGCGAAGGCGGCCUUCUGGACUGACACUGACACUGAGGUGCGAAAGCGUGGGUAGCAAACAGGAUUAGAUACCCCAUAGUC